UGCAGUCGACGGUAGCACAGAGAGCUUGCUCUCGGGUGACGAGUGGCGGACGGGUGAGUAAUGUCUGGGAAACUGCCUGAUGGAGGGGGAUAACUACUGGAAACGGUAGCUAAUACCGCAUAACGUCGCAAGACCAAAGAGGGGGACCUUCGGGCCUCUUGCCAUCAGAUGUGCCCAGAUGGGAUUAGCUAGUAGGUGGGGUAACGGCUCACCUAGGCGACGAUCCCUAGCUGGUCUGAGAGGAUGACCAGCCACACUGGAACUGAGACACGGUCCAGACUCCUACGGGAGGCAGCAGUGGGGAAUAUUGCACAAUGGGCGCAAGCCUGAUGCAGCCAUGCCGCGUGUAUGAAGAAGGCCUUCGGGUUGUAAAGUACUUUCAGCGGGGAGGAAGGUGUUGUGGUUAAUAACCGCAGCAAUUGACGUUACCCGCAGAAGAAGCACCGGCUAACUCCGUGCCAGCAGCCGCGGUAAUACGGAGGGUGCAAGCGUUAAUCGGAAUUACUGGGCGUAAAGCGCACGCAGGCGGUCUGUCAAGUCGGAUGUGAAAUCCCCGGGCUCAACCUGGGAACUGCAUUCGAAACUGGCAGGCUAGAGUCUUGUAGAGGGGGGUAGAAUUCCAGGUGUAGCGGUGAAAUGCGUAGAGAUCUGGAGGAAUACCGGUGGCGAAGGCGGCCCCCUGGACAAAGACUGACGCUCAGGUGCGAAAGCGUGGGGAGCACACAGGAUUAGAUACCCUGGUAGUCCACGCCGUAAACGAUGUCGACUUGGAGGUUGUGCCCUUGAGGCGUGGCUUCCGGAGCUAACGCGUUAAGUCGACCGCCUGGGGAGUACGGCCGCAAGGUUAAAACUCAAAUGAAUUGACGGGGGCCCGCACAAGCGGUGGAGCAUGUGGUUUAAUUCGAUGCAACGCGAAGAACCUUACCUACUCUUGACAUCCAGAGAACUUUCCAGAGAUGGAUUGGUGCCUUCGGGAACUCUGAGACAGGUGCUGCAUGGCUGUCGUCAGCUCGUGUUGUGAAAUGUUGGGUUAAGUCCCGCAACGAGCGCAACCCUUAUCCUUUGUUGCCAGCGGUCCGGCCGGGAACUCAAAGGAGACUGCCAGUGAUAAACUGGAGGAAGGUGGGGAUGACGUCAAGUCAUCAUGGCCCUUACGAGUAGGGCUACACACGUGCUACAAUGGCGCAUACAAAGAGAAGCGACCUCGCGAGAGCAAGCGGACCUCAUAAAGUGCGUCGUAGUCCGGAUUGGAGUCUGCAACUCGACUCCAUGAAGUCGGAAUCGCUAGUAAUCGUAGAUCAGAAUGCUACGGUGAAUACGUUCCCGGGCCUUGUACACA
rnacentral:rRNA from 1 species